AUUCAGCUGACGAGUUUCAAAUGGGGCGAAAUUCGUGUCCUGGAU
rnacentral:hammerhead_ribozyme from 1 species